rnacentral:rRNA from 1 species
AGGGCACCACCAGGAGUGGAGCCUGCGGCUUAAUUUGACUCAACACGGGGAAACUCACCCGGCCCGGACACCGGAAGGAUUGACAGAUUGAUAGCUCUUUCUUGAUUCGGUGGAUGGUGGUGCAUGGCCGUUCUUAGUUGGUGGAGCGAUCUGUCUGGUUAAUUCCGAUAACGAACGAGACUCUAGCCUAUUAAAUAGACGUCGGGUUCUCUGCACUCGACGGUCUUCCUAGAGGGACAAGGUGCUUUUAGCACCGCGAAACAGAGCAAUAACAGGUCUGUGAUGCCCUUAGAUGUCCGGGGCCGCACGCGCGCUACGCUGAAGGAAGCAGCGUGUAACAACCUUGUUCUAACGAACUGGGUAACCCGUGGAACUUCCUUCAUGAUUGGGAUAGGGGUUUGCAAUUGUGCCCCUUGAACGAGGAAUUCCCAGUAAACACUAGUCAUCAGCUAGUGCUGAUUACGUCCCUGCCCUUUGUACACACCGCCCGUCGCUACUACCGAUUGAAUGGUUUAGUGA